CGGGAGGCAGCAGUAAGGAAUAUUGGACAAUGGAGGCAACUCUGAUCCAGCCAUGCCGCGUGAAGGAAGACGGCCUUAUGGGUUGUAAACUUCUUUUAUACAGGAAGAAACCUUUCCACGUGUGGAAAGCUGACGGUACUGUAAGAAUAAGGAUCGGCUAACUCCGUGCCAGCAGCCGCGGUAAUACGGAGGAUCCAAGCGUUAUCCGGAAUUAUUGGGUUUAAAGGGUCCGCAGGCUGUUUGUUAAGUCAGAGGUGAAAGCCUACCGCUCAACGGUAGAACUGCCUUUGAUACUGGCAAACUUGAGUUAUUGUGAAGUAGUUAGAAUGUGUAGUGUAGCGGUGAAAUGCAUAGAUAUUACACAGAAUACCGAUUGCGAAAGCAGAUUACUAACAAUAUACUGACGCUGAGGGACGAAAGCGUGGGUAGCGAACAGGAUUAGAUACCCUGGUAGUCCACGCCGUAAACGAUGGUCACUAGCUGUUCGAUGUACAUUGGUACAUUGAGUGGCUAAGCGAAAGUGAUAAGUGACCCACCUGGGGAGUACGCUCGCAAGAGUGAAACUCAAAGGAAUUGACGG
rnacentral:rRNA from 1 species